CUAUGGCCAAACCACCCUGUAUGUACCCAAUUUCAUAUGAUCUUGGAAGCUAAGCAGGGUUGAGCUUGGUCAGUACUUGGAUAAUCUAACAAUAAAGGGCCUAAUAAA
ensembl:rRNA 5S_rRNA 5S ribosomal RNA